rnacentral:hammerhead_ribozyme from 1 species
AUCCGACUGAUGAGUGCCAAAUAGGACGAAAUGCGCAUCCUGGAU